AGGAGGAGGAGGCGAUGGGAGCCAGUCAGCGCGGACACCGCGCCGGGGGAGGGGGGUGCGGACGGGGACGGUCCGCAGGUGGGACCCAGCCCGGCGCCGGGCCAUGGCCGGCCGAGCCCCCGCCGCGGACCAGCCGGCGGAGCCCCCCGAGGGGCCGCUUCAGAGCGCUAGCACCUCCGCCGUGGCCCACGGAGUCAUCCUGCGGAGAAGGCUUUCAGCGGAUCUGCGAGCACCGGAGCUAUACCUGUGUGCAGCAGCAGGGGUUGUGUCUGCAGGAGGGUGUUCUGCUCUCGGGGUGUUUUUCCCGCAUCACUUGGUGUUACUCCAAACUUCGCUGCUGCUCCUCUACAGCUGCCGAGCAGAAAACAGAAGUUCCCUGAAGUGCAGUCCGCCUCGGAAACAUACUUUUUAGCAGCUGGUUGAGGAGGCAGAAGGCAAGUCCCAGCCAGGGAAAAAGCUUCUCCCUUUUAAAAGCAGCGAUCGUGAAGUUGCUUCUUCUUCUUCCUCCUCCUCGCGUGUGUGUGCCUGCCCGUGAAUGGGUCCCUACGUGUCUACGGAGUUAAAAGGCUCCUUUUCAAAAAUGUCCUUUGCAUCACGCUCAUCAGACAGAUAGACAUUUACCGAGACUCCCGCAGCAACAUCAAGAUGAAGCUUGACUUGUCUCCGCUCCCUUAAAAAAGAAAGGAAAAAGGAGGGAGGAGGGUAAAUAAAAGAAA